GCCCAAAAUCUAGCCCAUUUUACUCACAUGACCCCCUUAACCAACUGUCUUAUAAACAAAACAUUUUAACAUUUUAGUACAGGUGAUCGAAAAAUUUCUAAGCGCUUCAGAUAAAGUACCGCAAGGGAAUAAUGAAAUAGAAAUGAAAUAACCUUAAAGCCUUAAAUAGCAGAGCUUCCCCCUCGUACCUUUUGCAUCAUGGUCUAGCCAGUUUCCCCAGGCAAAACGAAAAUUUUAGUCUGACUCCCCGAAACUAAGCGAGCUACUUCGAAACAGCCCAAAGGGGCCAACCCGUCUCUGUUGCAAAAGAGUGGGAAGAUUUUCAAGUAGAGGCGAUAAACCUACCGAGCUUAGAGAUAGCUGGUUGUUCAGGAAAAGAGUCUUAGCUCUACCUUAAAUUUUUUUAUUACACCAAACAAAACACUAGAUUUAAGAGCUAUUCAAAUAAGGCACAGCUUAUUUGAAACGGGAUACAACCCCUAAUACUGGGUUAAAUCUAGAUAUAUCAAAUAAAGUGGGCCUAAAAGCAGCCAUCUUCCAAAAAGCGUUAAAGCUUAACAUAUUGUAUCUACAAUUCCACAAUUUUUACUUAACCCUUCAUCACUACUGAACUAUUUUAUACCCCUAUAAAAGUCAUUAUGCUAGAACUAGUAACAAGAAAUUGCCCUUCUCCAAAAUGUAUGUUUAAACCAAAAUGGACACUCCACUGGUAGUUAACGUAAAUGUAAAAAUCAUAGCACCACAUACUAGAAAACCCUAUGACUCCCCAACGUCAACCUUACACUAGAACAUUACAGGAAAGAUUAAAAGAGAAAGAAGGAACUCGGCAAACCACAGUCCCGCCUGUUUACCAAAAACACCGCCUCUUG
rnacentral:rRNA from 1 species